AAUCAACGCUGGCGGCGUGCCUCAGACAUGCAAGUCGAACGAUUAAAGCUCUCUUCGGAGAGUGUAUAGAGUGGCGCACGGGUGAGUAACACGUAAGUAAUCUACCUUUGAGUGGGGAAUAACGUCCGGAAACGGACGCUAAUACCGCAUAAUGCAGCGGCAUCGCAAGAUGACAGUUGUUAAAGAUUUAUCGCUUGAAGAGGAGCUUGCGGCAGAUUAGCUAGUUGGUAAGGUAAUGGCUUACCAAGGCUACGAUCUGUAACCGGUCUAAGAGGACGGUCGGUCACACUGACACUGAAUAACGGGUCAGACUCCUACGGGAGGCAGCAGUCGGGAAUUUUGGCAAUGGGCGAAAGCCUGACCCAGCAACGCCGCGUGAAGGAUGAAGUAUUUCGGUAUGUAAACUUCGAAAGAAUGGGAAGAAUCAAUGACGGUACCAUUUAUAAGGUCCGGCU
rnacentral:rRNA from 1 species